CACAGGUGUGCUGGCCACAGAGAGUGCAGAGGACAGGCCCCCUCUGCUACCCAUGAAGUAAGUGCCCUGCAAAUGUGCAAAAGGGUCAGGAAUGGUCCCCGGAUUUGCCUCAAGGACUUGCUUUUCUGGAUUUUGGUGUAAAUGUGGGUCUGUGUGAGGAAACCCAGGUGUUUGUUUUGAUACCCUCUCUCUCUCUCUCUUUUGCUGUGUUUUCCUCCUUCUUUCCUUCUUAGAAAGCGGAUCAAUUUGCACAGAAGCAGCUAAGGUACAAAAUCUAUCUGGAAAGAAGCAAUAACAAAUGAUGAGCCACGAGCUGCUCAUCACUACCCGGUCCCUUAAUCAGUGUGGCCCUGUCACAAUUCAGGUGUUCUUCUCGUCCAGGGAGGCUGCCCUGGGGGCCCUGCUCUCUAGUGGGUGUUCCCCUCCCGCAAAAUUCUUAUGUUCCAAGUUACAUAGGAGUUUGCUGUGUAAAACCUCCAGAGUGCAAGAAAAGGUACAGGCAGUCCUGUAAGACCUUUUAGUGCCUCAGGGAAGGACAAACGGAGAAAAGCAAGGUCACUCAGGUUUUUUGGGCAAUGCCUGUGUGAAAGCAAAGCUGGGCAGGGAGAGCCCCUGGACGACAGCAGGGCGGUCCCAGGGAGGGAGCCUUGUGCCGGGCUUCAGCCUUCCUGUUAAACAGUCUUAGUUUCCAAAUGAGUUUAUAUUAUUUCUAUAAUAAGAAAAAAAAAAAGAAUCCAGGAAUUUUCAAGUGAUCUGUUGAGACCCUCUUUUGAUGACUGAUUUAAGA
rnacentral:lncRNA from 1 species